CACGGGGGGAGCAAGCGUUGUUCGGAUUCAUUGGGCGUAAAGAGCUCGUAGGUGGUUCGGUAAGUCGGGUGUUAAACCCCCAGGCUCAACCUGGGGACGCCACUCGAUACUGCUGUGACUAGAGUCCGGUAGGGGAGCGUGGAAUUCCUGGUGUAGCGGUGAAAUGCGCAGAUAUCAGGAGGAACACCAGCGGCGAAGGCGGCGCUCUGGGCCGGUACUGACACUGAGGAGCGAAAGCGUGGGUAGCAAACAGG
rnacentral:rRNA from 1 species